GCCGGGGUGGUGAAAUGGCAGACACGCAGGCUUCAGGUGCCUGUGGGGGAAACCCCGUGGAGGUUCAAGUCCUCUCCUCGGCA
rnacentral:tRNA from 1 species